UUGAAGAACCAGGGGUCAGAUCUAGUCUAGUCUAGUGCCUAGACCAGCAAGGUACAUUUCACCCUCUCCAAUGACAUAGGAAGCAAAAACGAACCAACUGAAAAAACGACACACCAUCAAUUCUCUCUUUCAAGUUUCAUUUCACAAAAAAAAAAAAAGGUGCUCUCUUUUCUCUCCUCCUCCUCCAUUAAACCCCAAAAAAUGCCCCAAAUUCCUCACUUUAAACCCUAACUUGAACAAAAAUUGUAAAUGAGCGCCACGAAUAAUAGAUCCUCAACGACAAUGUCACUCCACCACCUUACCACCAACCCUCCUCCCCCACAACAAAAUCUCCCUCUAGUCGUCACUCUCAACUGCAUCGAAGAUUGUGCCAUCGAACAAGACUCCUUAUCCGGCGUCGCUUCAAUCGAACACGUUCCUCUCAGCCGUCUCUCCGGUGGCAAAAUUGAAUCAGCGGCUGCCGUCCUCCUCCACUCCCUCGCUUACCUCCCACGCGCUGCCCAACGCCGUCUCCGUCCUUACCAGCUUAUCCUAUGCCUGGGAUCGGCUGACCGAGCCGUCGACUCGGCUCUUGCUGCCGAUUUAGGUCUCCGGCUUGUCCACGUUGACAAUUCUCGAGCCGAGGAGAUCGCGGACACGGUUAUGGCUUUGUUUCUCGGCUUGCUUCGCCGGACGCACUUGUUAUCAAGACAUACGUUGUCAGCUUCCGGUUGGCUUGGCUCGGUACAGCCUCUUUGUAGAGGAAUGAGGAGGUGUAGAGGUCUGGUAUUGGGCAUUGUUGGUAGAUCUGCAUCGGCUAAGUCUUUGGCUACUAGAAGCUUGGCUUUCAAAAUAAGUGUGCUUUAUUUUGAUGUGCAUGAGGGGCCAGGAAUAUUAAGCAGGUCUUCUAUUGCAUUUCCUUCAGCUGCUCGAAGAAUGGAUACUCUUAAUGAUUUGCUAGCUGCUAGUGAUCUUAUUUCACUUCACUGUGCUUUAACUAAUGAAACUGUUCAGAUUAUUAGUGCAGAGUGUUUGCAGCAUAUAAAGCCAGGGGCAUUUCUUGUGAAUACGGGUAGCAGUCAGCUGCUGGAUGAUUGUGCUUUAAAGCAGCUUUUGAUUGAUGGGACCUUGGCUGGUUGUGCCUUGGAUGGUGCUGAAGGACCACAGUGGAUGGAAGCAUGGGUGAAAGAGAUGCCCAAUGUAUUGAUACUUCCACGCAGUGCAGAUUACAGUGAAGAAGUGUGGAUGGAGAUAAGGGACAAAGCCAUCUCUAUACUGCAGUCAUUCUUCCUUGAUGGGACUGUACCAAAAAAUGCCGUUUCUGACGAGGAAGAGGAAGAAAGUGAAAUAGGUGAGGAAAGCGAUCAAUUUCACAGACAAGACAAAGAAAGUACCCUGCAGGAUUCUGUUGUUGAGCAAUUGACAGAUGAUGUUCAGGUAACACUAGAAAGCUAUCACAAAAAAGUCAUUAGUCAAUCAAUAGAAUCUACCAGCAAAGCUCAGGUUUCUGGCAUGUCUCAAAAUAUGGCCACAAGAACUGAAGGAAGACGGAACCGAUUAGGCAAGAAGGCAAAAAAAAGACAUGGCCAUCAAAAAUCCCAACAGAAAUCAGAUGAUCCUUCUCAAUUAGAGAAAGAAAUUACUUCACAUCAAGAAGAUGAUACUGCUAUGAGUGGCACUGAUCAAGUGUUAAGUUCUGGUUCUCGGUUCGCAUCCCCUGAAGACUCAAGGAGUAGGAAAACACCGAUAGAAUUAACGCAAGAUCCAACUUCUGGCCAGCUUUCAAGAUCAGGCAAGAAGCUCAGUGGAAAGUCUGACAAGCUUCUCAAAGAUGGGCACAUUAUAGCUUUAUAUGCAAGAGAUCACUCUGCACUCCAUGUCUCCAGGCAAAGAGUUAAAGGAGGUGGCUGGUUCCUGGAUGCUAUGUCAAAUGUGACGAAAAGAGACCCUGCAGCACAGUUCCUUGUUGUUUUCAGAAGCAAGGAUACAAUUGGGUUGCGCUCUUUUGCUGCUGGUGGAAAGUUAUUGCAGAUUAACAGAAGAACGGAAUUUGUCUUUGCCAGUCACAGUUUUGAUGUUUGGGAGAGUUGGAUGUUGGAAGGUUCUUUGGAGGAAUGCCGGCUGGUUAACUGUAGAAAUCCUUUGGCUGUUUUGGAAGUACGCAUUGAGAUUCUGGCAGCCGUGGGAGAAGAUGGUGUUAGUCGUUGGCUAGAUUAAAUUGUGCAAGCAAGAGUUGAGAAACCCAACCUUUUUACCUGCCCAUUUCAUUAUCCUUCUCAGCUGCCCAUUAUGUUAUUCUUCUGAGGUACUUGUCAACCAAUGCUUUAUCAUCAUCUCUAGCUUUAAUGGUAGCUGCAUUUGCGUUGUUGAUUCCGGGCUUGUGAAGUAGUUCUUGACUGCAUGUUGCCUUGGAUACCUUGUUGCCGGUUGCUACGAGGGUAUUUGUUCAGAAAAUAUUUGUGGGGUCUUCAGUCAAUACAGCGACUAACAGAGAACAAUUUCUUGGCGGUUUUCGAUGAAUCACUGGUGAUACCAGUUAAACUCCCCUUUCAACCAUAUUGUAUUUGCUAGUUCCAAGUUUUCAUAAGCAUAAAUCAGCAUUUCACAUUAUUAUAUUAGUAGAUUAACAUAAACUAAUUGUGGAGCAGAAUUCACUCUUUCCUCCUCACAAAUCACUGAUUACUUGAAUAUUAAUUUUUUUUUAAUUUUAUAC